rnacentral:rRNA from 1 species
ACCUCGGAUCAGGUAGGAAUACCCGCUGAACUUAAGCAUAUCAAUAAGCGGAGGAAAAGAAACCAACAGGGAUUGCCCUAGUAACGGCGAGUGAAGCGGCAACAGCUCAAAUUUGAAAUCUGGCCUUCGGGUCCGAGUUGUAAUUUGUAGAGGAUGCUUUUGGUGAGGUACCUUCCGAGUUCCCUGGAACGGGACGCCAUAGAGGGUGAGAGCCCCGUCUGGUUGGAUACCGAUCCUCUGUAAAGCUCCUUCGACGAGUCGAGUAGUUUGGGAAUGCUGCUCUAAAUGGGAGGUAUAUGUCUUCUAAAGCUAAAUAUUGGCCAGAGACCGAUAGCGCACAAGUAGAGUGAUCGAAAGAUGAAAAGCACUUUGAAAAGAGAGUUAAAAAGUACGUGAAAUUGUUGAAAGGGAAGCGCUCAUGACCAGACUUGGGCUUGGUUGAUCAUCCAGGGUUCUCCCUGGUGCACUCUUCCAGCCCAGGCCAGCAUCAGUUCGCUGUGGGGGAUAAAGGCUUCGGGAAUGUGGCUCCUCCGGGAGUGUUAUAGCCCGCUGCGUAAUACCC